rnacentral:tRNA from 1 species
GGGGAUGUGGUCUAGUGGUAUGACGUUUCCUUAGCAUGCGAUGAACUCGUUUCACAAGCAUGGAAAAGGUUCUGGGUUCGAUUCCCAGCCUCUCCA